rnacentral:rRNA from 1 species
CGGACUGGUGAGUAUCGCGUGGGUAAUCUACCUUGUAGUUGGGGAUAAUACUGCGAAAGUGGUGCUAAUACCGAAUGUGGUUCAGCGGUUUUCGGACUGCUAAACUAAAGGUGGCGUAAGCUGCCGCUAUAAGAUGAGCCUGCGUCCUAUUAGCUUGUUGGUAGGGUAAGAGCCUACCAAGGCGAUGAUGGGUAGCCGGCCUGAGAGGGUGACCGGCCACAUUGGGACUGAGAUACGGCCCAGACUCCUACGGGAGGCAGCAGCCAAGAAUAUUCCUCAAUGGGCGAAAGCCUGAAGGAGCGACGCCGCGUGGACGAUGAAGGCUUUAGGGUUGUAAAGUCCUUUCGUGCGGGAAUAUUUUUCACAUGGUUAAUACCCGUGUGGAUUGACUGUACCGCAGGAAGAAGCCCCGGCUAAUUACGUGCCAGCAGCCGCGGUAAUACGUAUGGGGCGAGCGUUAUUCGGAUUUAUUGGGCGUAAAGCGUAUGUAGGUGGUUCGUUAAGUUGAGGGUGAAAUUUUCAGGCUUAACCUGAAAACUGCUCUCAAAACUGGCGGACUAGAGUUCGGGAGAGGAGAAUGGAAUUCCAGGUGUAGGGGUGAAAUCUGUAGAUAUCUGGAAGAACACCAGUGGCGAAGGCGAUUCUCUGGCCCGAACUGACACUGAGAUACGAAAGCUAGGGGAGCGAGCGAGAUUAGAUACCCCGGUAGUCCUAGCCGUAAACGUUG